rnacentral:rRNA from 1 species
GCUGGCAACCCGGCGCCAAGACGUGCGCGCAAGGGCGGGCGCCCGCGGGCGAGCAGCGUGACGCAGCGACGGCCCGCCCGGGCUUCCGGGGCAUCACCCGGUCGGCGCGGUCGCGGCGCGCCGAGGGCCCGACGCCUGGCGGAGAAUCAGGGUUCGACUCCGGAGAGCGGGCCUGAGAGACGGCCCGCACAUCCAAGGACGGCAGCAGGCGCGGAACUUGCCCAAUGCGCGCGCGCGAGGCAGCGACGGGGAGUGCGCGAGCGAGGCGGGCCCACAGCCCCCGCCGCGGAGCCGAGGGCAACGUCUGGUGCCAGCAGCCGCGGUAAUUCCAGCUCGGCGGGCGUCGCGUGGCGCUGCUGCAGUUAAAACGCCCGUAGUUGGCCCCCCGCCGCCACGAGGAAACGGGAGCGCUCCAGGCAGGCCCGUUGGACCCGCCGCGUGGGACCGCGCAGCGGGCGCGGCGCGCCGCGGCAGCCCCGAGGAGAG